CCUACGGGAGGCAGCAGUGGGGAAUAUUGGACAAUGGGCGAAAGCCUGAUCCAGCAAUUCCGCGUGUGUGAAGAAGGCCUUCGGGUUGUAAAGCACUUUAGUUGGGGAAGAAACAGCUUGGCCACACCAAGCCUUGACGGUACCCAAAGAAUAAGCACCGGCUAACUCUGUGCCAGCAGCCGCGGUAAUACAGAGGGUGCAAGCGUUAAUCGGAUUUACUGGGCGUAAAGGGUGCGUAGGUGGUUUUGUAAGUCGGAUGUGAAAGCCUGGGGCUCAACCUCAGAAUUGCACUCGAUACUGCAAGACUAGAGUUCGGUAGAGGGCGGCGGAAUUCCCGGUGUAGCGGUGAAAUGCGUAGAUAUCGGGAGGAACAUCAAUGGCGAAGGCAGCCGUCUGGGCCUGAACUGACACUGAGGCACGAAAGCGUGGGUAGCAAACAGGAUUAGAUACCCUGGUAGUCCACGCUGUAAACGAUGAGAACUUGACGUUGGUUCGUUUUACGAAUCGGUGUCGCAGCUAACGCGAUAAGUUCUCCGCCUGGGGAGUACGGCCGCAAGGUUGAAACUUAAAUGAAUUGAGG
rnacentral:rRNA from 1 species